rnacentral:rRNA from 1 species
GGGAAUCUGCCCCUUGGUUCGGAAUAACAGUUGGAAACGACUGCUAAUACCGGAUGAUGACGUAAGUCCAAAGAUUUAUCGCCGAGGGAUGAGCCCGCGUAGGAUUAGGUAGUUGGUGUGGUAAAGGCGCACCAAGCCGACGAUCCUUAGCUGGUCUGAGAGGAUGAUCAGCCACACUGGGACUGAGACACGGCCCAGACUCCUACGGGAGGCAGCAGUGGGGAAUAUUGGACAAUGGGCGAAAGCCUGAUCCAGCAAUGCCGCGUGAGUGAUGAAGGCCUUAGGGUUGUAAAGCUCUUUUACCCGGGAUGAUAAUGACAGUACCGGGAGAAUAAGCUCCGGCUAACUCCGUGCCAGCAGCCGCGGUAAUACGGAGGGAGCUAGCGUUAUUCGGAAUUACUGGGCGUAAAGCGCACGUAGGCGGCUUUGUAAGUUAGAGGUGAAAGCCCAGAGCUCAACUCUGGAAUUGCCUUUGAUACUGCAUCGCUUGAAUCCAGGAGAGGUGAGUGGAAUUCCGAGU